CAAGUGAUAGCACUGCAUGUAGAUAAAGUAUAUAUCAGAAAAGAAAGUUAAAUGGAAACCAAUAACAAGGUUAAGCCAAGCCUAUAACCGAAGGCUUAAAAAGUUCUGCACACCUUAAAGGGGUGUACAAGCAGUGAAGGUAAUAGUAGUAUAAGCUCUUUCGCUGGGAUCGUCUCGAAUAUUUAACAUGCAUUAAGGUGAAGUACCAUUUAAGUGGGGCCAACCUGACUCUGGUGGCUGAAAUUCCGCCUGACUGGACUGCUGGCAGCCAUAAAUAAUGCCACACGAAGUUUAAAAUGCAAUAAUGAAACUUAUUAAGAACUUAUGCGGAGUUAAAACACCAAAGAUGGGGACGGCAUCCUUGUGUAAACACGGGCGAAAGGAAUCACGCCAGUCAAGGAGAGCAGAAGUCCAGAUACUCUAGCAAAUCGAAAGACGAUCGAGCUUGAGACGCGACCUCCAAAUAGAUGGGCCACUUGAGUUGCUUGAUUUUGGGUUUUGGGUGCGCACAACUUACAAUUAGUAUUCAAUUAGAAAAAAUAGAUGUUUAUUUUUAAGUACGUAGUGUUUAGGCUUAGGUUGGUGACUUUGGGCCUUGUGAGUGUUUAGUGUCGGUUUAACGUUUUGUACAUGCCCAAAAAACUUUAGCAAAAACUUGAAUAUCACUCGUAUUUAUGUUAAAAUUUGUAAUUUUCAAAUUCAAUUCUCUUGCAUGAAAUAGGUUUUACAAUAAACUUUAUAAACGCCA